rnacentral:rRNA from 1 species
UACGUAGGGGGCUAGCGUUGUCCGGAAUCAUUGGGCGUAAAGCGCGCGUAGGCGGCCCGGUAAGUCCGCUGUAAAAGUCAAAGGCUCAACCUUUGAAUGUCAGUAGAUACUGCCGGGCUAGAGUCCGGAAGAGGCGAGUGGAACUCCUGGUGUAGCGGUGGAAUGCGCAGAUAUCAGGAAGAACACCGACGGCGAAGGCAGCUCGCUGGGACGGUACUGACGCUGAGGUGCGAAAGCGUGGGGAGCAAACAGG